rnacentral:rRNA from 1 species
AGUAACGCGUAGGUAACCUGCCUUGUAGCGGGGGAGUAACUAUUGGAAACGAUAGCUAAUACCGCAUAACAAUGGGUGACUCAUGUCAUUUAUUUGAAAGGGGCAAAUGCUCCACUACAAGAUGGACCUGCGUUGUAUUAGCUAGUAGGUGAGGUAACGGCUCACCUAGGCGACGAUACAUAGCCGACCUGAGAGGGUGAUCGGUUACACUGGGACUGAGACACGGCCCAG